GGGCGGGCCAGAGUCUCCAGCCUGAAGCGGAAGUGGAGGAAAGAUGGAGGACCAUCAGCACGUGCCCAUCGACAUCCAGACCAGCAAGCUGCUCGAUUGGCUGGUGGACAGAAGGCACUGCAGCCUGAAAUGGCAGAGUCUGGUGCUGACGAUCCGCGAGAAGAUCAAUGCUGCCAUCCAGGAUAUGCCAGAGAGCGAAGAGAUCGCCCAGCUGCUGUCUGGGUCCUACAUUCACUACUUUCACUGCCUAAGAAUCCUGGACCUUCUCAAAGGCACAGAGGCCUCCACGAAAAAUAUUUUUGGCCGAUACUCUUCACAGCGGAUGAAGGAUUGGCAGGAGAUUAUAGCCCUGUAUGAGAAGGACAACACCUACUUAGGUAAAGUGGCCUGGCCUGGGAGCCCUGGUAUCCAUGGGGAAGCCCACUCUCAGAGUUCUGAGAUACCAGGCUUAUAGGAGGCACAGUCUGUGAGUGGGAAGAGACUGGAGUAUAGAUGUUGCCUGUUUGUAGGUGGUAGAAUCAAUUGUUUUUGAUGGAGUUGAUUUUCCCUGGGUGGAGUGCUGGGGGAAGGAGGAGGUCCAGGCCGGUAGUGGGCAUUCACCAUGCCUCAGCGAGCAGGUGUGUGUGGGUCCUCCACCACUCACCUGUUGCUUAGCGGGAGUGUGCUGCCCCCACCCCUACGCCCGCACCCCCAUUCUGCAAGGCAGAAGAGGCACGGGUUUUCCUGGGAGCGAAUAUCAAGUGCCUGAGAGAGAGCAACUACAGGACUAAUUGUGUUUGGGUUGGGUUUAGUAUAAAUGAUAAUAAUGGCUAAUAUUUACUGAGCAUCUACUAAAUGCAAGGAAUUGUGCUUGGUGUGUCAUGUGGAUUCCCUCUUGCGUCUUCAUGAUAAAUGUUAUUGUCGCUGUUUUACAGAUGAGGGUUGGAUUAGAGGGGUUAAACAACUUGUCUUAGGCUCCACAGCUGGGAACAAGUGGGGCAGGGAAGCUGACUUCAUGCUCUUCACCACCACAAAGGGUGUGUGUGCAUCCUGGGGCAUGCCUGCCUCAUGUGGGGGUGUCCUGGGCUGAAUUUCCUGGGCACUUCUCAGUGGAACUCUCUAGCCUCCUGGUUCGGAAUGUCAACUAUGAGAUCCCCUCACUGAAGAAGCAGAUUGCCAAGUGCCAGCAGCUGCAGCAAGAAUACAGCCGCAAGGAGGAGGAGUGCCAGGCAGGGGCUGCCGAGAUGCGGGAGCAGUUCUACCACUCCUGCAAGCAGUAUGGUAUCAUGGGCGAAAAUGUCCGAGGAGAACUGCUGGCCCUGGUGAAGGACCUGCCGAGUCAGCUGGCUGAGAUUGGGGCAGCGGCUCAGCAGUCCCUGGGGGAAGCCAUUGACGUGUACCAGGCGUCUGUGGGGUUUGUGUGUGAGAGGUAAAGAGGCCUCAGCUUCUGGCGGGGGUGCUUUGCCUGUGUUCCCCAGCUCAUGUCCCUUCUCCAGUUGUCUUGUUCCCAUAUAACGUUUGAACUCUUUUUACACACCUGAACCUGUGGGGGCCUUGCCCAUUUGACCAUGUGGCCCAGGCCAAAGCCCAGUGUUGACCUUAUGCAUGGUCGGCAGGAGAGUCAGUUGUGUGCUCUGUUGAAGCCCCACAGAGCAGGUGUUGCCAAUGCUGCAGUUCGUGCAGAAGCGGGGAAACUCAACGGUGUACGAGUGGAGGACAGGGACAGAGCCCUCUGUGGUGGAGCGACCCCACCUCGAGGAGCUUCCGGAGCAGGUGGCAGAAGACGCGAUUGACUGGGGCGACUUUGGGGUAGAGGCAGUGUCUGAGGGGACUGACUCUGGCAUCUCUGCCGAGGCUGCUGGAAUCGACUGGGGCAUCUUCCCGGAAUCAGAUUCAAAGGACCCUGGAGGUGAUGGGAUAGACUGGGGAGACGAUGCUGUUGCUUUGCAGAUCACAGUGCUGGAAGCGGGAACCCAGGCUCCAGAAGGUGUUGCCAGGGGCCCAGAUGCCCUGACACUUCUUGAAUACACUGAGACCCGGAAUCAGUUCCUUGAUGAACUCAUGGAGCUUGAGAUCUUCUUAGCCCAGAGAGCAGUGGAGUUGAGUGAGGAGGCAGACGUCCUGUCUGUGAGCCAGUUCCAGCUGGCUCCAGCCAUCCUGCAGGGUCAGACCAAAGAGAAGACGGUUACCAUGGUGUCAGUGCUGGAGGAUCUGAUUGGCAAGCUUACCAGUCUUCAACUGCAACACCUGUUUAUGAUCCUGGCCUCACCAAGGUAUGUGGACCGAGUGACUGAAUUCCUCCAGCAAAAGCUGAAGCAGUCCCAGUUGCUGGCUUUGAAGAAAGAGCUGAUGGUGCAGAAGCAGCAGGAGGCACUUGAGGAGCAGGCAGCUCUGGAGCCUAAGCUGGACCUGCUGCUGGAGAAGACCAAGGAGCUGCAGAAGCUGAUUGAAGCUGACAUCUCCAAGAGGUACAGCGGGCGCCCUGUGAACCUGAUGGGAACCUCUCUGUGACACCCUCCGUGUUCUUGCCUGCCCAUCUUCUCCGCUUUUGGGAUGAAGAUGAUAGCCAGGGCUGUUGUUUUGGGGCCCUUCAAGGCAAAAGACCAGGCCGACUGGAAGACGGAAAGCCACAGGAAGGAAGCAGCACCUGAUGGUGAUCUUGGCACUCUCCAUGUUCUCUACAAGAAGCUGUGGUGAUUGGCCCUGUGGCCUGUCAGGUGAAAACCACAGCUUCUUCUAAUUAGUAUAGCAGACUUCAUAAAAGAGGAAAAAACUCUU
rnacentral:sRNA from 1 species